UUCGCAAUGCCCGAAAGGGUGACGAUGCGACGCCGCGUGAGCGAAGAAGGCCCUAGGGUUGUAAAGCUCUGUCGAGGGUUAUGAAAUAUAGAUGGGUUAAUACCCCAUUUAUUUGACAAAAGCCCAAAAGGAAGCCACGGCUAACUCUGUGCCAGCAGCCGCGGUAAUACAGAGGUGGCGAGCGUUGUUCGGUAUUAUUGGGCGUAAAGAGCACGUAGGUGGUUUUGUAAGUCAGGUGUGAAAGCCUUCUGUUCAAAGGAAGAACGGCAUCUGAAACUGCAGAUCUUGAGUGUAGGAGGGGAGAGUGGAACUUCUGGUGGAGCGGUGAAAUGCGUAGAUAUCAGAAGGAACGACGGCGGCGAAAGCGACUCUCUGGCCUAUUACUGACACUGAGUGUGCGAAAGUUAGGGGAGCAAACGGGAUUAGAUACCCCGGUAGUCCUUACCGUGAACGAUGGGCACUAAGUAGAGGGGUUUU
rnacentral:rRNA from 1 species